UAGGGAAUCUUCCGCAAUGGACGAAAGUCUGACGGAGCGACGCCGCGUGAGCGAAGAAGGUCUUCGGAUCGUAAAGCUCUGUUGUUAGGGAAGAAGAAGUGCCGUUCGAACAGGGCGGCACGGUGACGGUACCUAACGAGAAAGCCCCGGCUAACUACGUGCCAGCAGCCGCGGUAAUACGUAGGGGGCGAGCGUUGUCCGGAAUUAUUGGGCGUAAAGCGCGGGCAGGCGGUCCCUUAAGUCUGAUGUGAAAGCCCACGGCUUAACCGUGGAGGGUCAUUGGAAACUGGGGGACUUGAGUGCAGAAGAGGAGAGCGGAAUUCCACGUGUAGCGGUGAAAUGCGUAGAGAUGUGGAGGAACACCAGUGGCGAAGGCGGCUCUCUGGUCUGUAACUGACGCUGAGGCGCGAAAGCGUGGGGAGCAAACAGG
rnacentral:rRNA from 1 species